GGACACUAUUAAGGAUUGGGGUGAUGGGGAAGGGAAGGACGGACACUAUUAAGGAUUGGGGUGAUGGGGAAGGGAAGGCGAGCGAUAGAAAAGAUAGAAAGAGGCAAGAAUUGCGUAAAGCGGGGAUAGUCACCACCAGGAUCCGGCAGCAGUCCCGUUGCACGAUGUUCCGACGGUCCGAGGCCGAAGGGCAGGAGCAGCGAGGCCGGUCUUGGGCAACGAGAGGGUGCAGGUCAGGGAGGAAGCAGCAGGUCUCAGGUAGCAGGCCCAGGGAAGUCCGUCAGCAAACGGUCCGUAGAGAGGGAUCUGAAGGCAGGAGGCUCAUGUUGUGGUGAGAGAUCAUGAGAGAUCAGCCUCUGUGUUGCGGUGAGAGAUCAGUCUCCACGUUGCAAUCAGCCUCCCUGUUGUGGUGAAGGAUCAGAUGGCAGAGAACCCCUCAAGUCUGUCGUGGUGAGAGAUAAGCCUUCACGUUGCGGUGAGAGAUAAGCCUCCACAUCACUGUGGUUGUUGAACCCUCUUUUAUCCUCCAUUUUCUCCUGCCUACAUGACAUUCCUGGGUGCUUGAGCAAGAGUCAUGUGCAUACCUCCUGAGAUGGCCAUCUUCCUCGAGAUAAGUCCACACAAAAAGACCCUUACCCCUCUCUCGUUGCCCCUGGCCUUGUCCAUCUGUGCUCCUUAAAGGAUUUCACAACCCUUAGCCAGGACCUGUCCAUCAGUGACCUCCAGACAGAAGAUUUCUC
ensembl:lncRNA